rnacentral:misc_RNA from 1 species
GAUGUGUAUCUCAAUGAAUCUAUCCGCUUGAAGCAUGCCAAUGGAGCAAACACAGCGAGGGUCAUAAAAAGAAGAACAAAGGUACGGCCAUUCCACCAAUGGAUUCCAAACCAUUCUUCCAAUAUACCAGUAUGGUAAACUCCACAAGUUGUCCCAGACAAUACAUCACCAAUUAUAAUCAUGUAUACUAUGAGGAUCCCAACAUUGCUGAGCAGCACAAAAAUCUGAAGCAGCCUUCUCCCUCCAUUCCCAAAAGCAUCCCCCAUUACCCCGCCAUAAGAGUCCACUUUCCCAGCCUUGCUAUACCUCAACAAAAUCUCCACAGAACGCUCUGUGAGGACUGCAAUCAACACAAUCAUAAGAAUUCCAAGGCCAAGUCCCAGUACCUUCAUGGUGGCAGGUAAUGCCAUGAUACCAGCACCAAUAAUAGU